UGGGGAAUAUUGGACAAUGGGCGCAAGCCUGAUCCAGCCAUGCCGCGUGGGUGAAGAAGGCCCUAGGGUUGUAAACCCCUUUCAGCGGGGAAGAUAAUGACGGUACCCGCAGAAGAAGCCCCGGCUAACUCCGUGCCAGCAGCCGCGGUAAUACGGAGGGGGCUAGCGUUGUUCGGAAUUACUGGGCGUAAAGCGCGCGUAGGCGGACCUGCAAGUCGGGGGUGAAAGCCCGAGGCUCAACCUCGGAACUGCCUUCGAUACUGCGGGUCUCGAGUCCGGGAGAGGUGAGUGGAAUUCCUAGUGUAGAGGUGAAAUUCGUAGAUAUUAGGAAGAACACCAGUGGCGAAGGCGGCUCACUGGCCCGGUACUGACGCUGAGGCGCGAAAGCGUGGGGAGCAAACAG
rnacentral:rRNA from 1 species